GAUGAACGCUGGCGGCGUGCCUAAUACAUGCAAGUCGAGCGAACGGACGAGAAGCUUGCUUCUCUGAUGUUAGCGGCGGACGGGUGAGUAACACGUGGAUAACCUACCUAUAAGACUGGGAUAACUUCGGGAAACCGGAGCUAAUACCGGAUAAUAUUUUGAACCGCAUGGUUCAAAAGUGAAAGACGGUCUUGCUGUCACUUAUAGAUGGAUCCGCGCUGCAUUAGCUAGUUGGUAAGGUAACGGCUUACCAAGGCAACGAUGCAUAGCCGACCUGAGAGGGUGAUCGGCCACACUGGAACUGAGACACGGUCCAGACUCCUACGGGAGGCAGCAGUAGGGAAUCUUCCGCAAUGGGCGAAAGCCUGACGGAGCAACGCCGCGUGAGUGAUGAAGGUCUUCGGAUCGUAAAACUCUGUUAUUAGGGAAGAACAUAUGUGUAAGUAACUGUGCACAUCUUGACGGUACCUAAUCAGAAAGCCACGGCUAACUACGUGCCAGCAGCCGCGGUAAUACGUAGGUGGCAAGCGUUAUCCGGAAUUAUUGGGCGUAAAGCGCGCGUAGGCGGUUUUUUAAGUCUGAUGUGAAAGCCCACGGCUCAACCGUGGAGGGUCAUUGGAAACUGGAAAACUUGAGUGCAGAAGAGGAAAGUGGAAUUCCAUGUGUAGCGGUGAAAUGCGCAGAGAUAUGGAGGAACACCAGUGGCGAAGGCGACUCUCUGGUCUGUAACUGACGCUGAUGUGCGAAAGCGUGGGGAUCAAACAGGAUUAGAUACCCUGGUAGUCCACGCCGUAAACGAUGAGUGCUAAGUGUUAGGGGGUUUCCGCCCCUUAGUGCUGCAGCUAACGCAUUAAGCACUCCGCCUGGGGAGUACGACCGCAAGGUUGAAACUCAAAGGAAUUGACGGGGACCCGCACAAGCGGUGGAGCAUGUGGUUUAAUUCGAAGCAACGCGAAGAACCUUACCAAAUCUUGACAUCCUUUGACAACUCUAGAGAUAGAGCCUUCCCCUUCGGGGGACAAAGUGACAGGUGGUGCAUGGUUGUCGUCAGCUCGUGUCGUGAGAUGUUGGGUUAAGUCCCGCAACGAGCGCAACCCUUAAGCUUAGUUGCCAUCAUUAAGUUGGGCACUCUAAGUUGACUGCCGGUGACAAACCGGAGGAAGGUGGGGAUGACGUCAAAUCAUCAUGCCCCUUAUGAUUUGGGCUACACACGUGCUACAAUGGACAAUACAAGGGGCAGCGAAACCGCGAGGUCAAGCAAAUCCCAUAAAGUUGUUCUCAGUUCGGAUUGUAGUCUGCAACUCGACUACAUGAAGCUGGAAUCGCUAGUAAUCGUAGAUCAGCAUGCUACGGUGAAUACGUUCCCGGGUCU
rnacentral:rRNA from 1 species